AGAAGACCUGCAAAACAUGCACUGUGUGGGGUCCUGAGGACUGAGUUUGCAGACCUUUGCUCUACAGACAGCAAUAGCUGUCUUAUUUAUUUAUUCAGGAUUUUUUUUUAAUUACCUCUUGUUUGUUACCCACUUAAUUUCAGCAGCGCUUUUGUAUAUUCACUUACAGUAAUUGGAUCUGCAACAUUGAUAGAACUGCUGCUUUCUUUUAAAAUAAUAAGAAUUUCAUUUCAAAUCUUAUUUUUUUAAGUGAAGAAAAGAUACGAAAGAGACAUUUCUGUGAAGCUAUCAUAAUAUCUGAAAAAAUAGGAAUGACCUUUACUGGGGUCCUUUCAAACAAAUUCUGUGGUAAAUAACUACUUCCAUUUAGAAUUUAGAUGUGAAAUUCUUAUUCUAAUUGACAGAUAAAACCCCAUGAGUUGCACAGGGUUCAUUAUAUCGUAAUUUUCGAUGGUGAUUGCCAACACAAAAUACACUGGAUUUCUGAAGAUUGCACUUGUGACUUCUGUGAAGGCAUUUCAUCAUAGAACUAAACUGUCUGAAAUAUAAAGAGCCAGAGUUCAUGAAUAACAAGAGAUUUGGAGGUAUAGGGAAGGAUGGUCUUCACAUGCUAAUAAGGUAGAAAAUGAAGAUCGAGCUGGGUUGAAUAAAUUAGAUGAACAGAAGGAGGAAGUGAUGUGCUGGAACGCACAUGGACCGCAUGUCAACAAGAUGGUUGCGGUCACUUCCAGGUUCCGGUUUUCGGACGGAUGGAACGUCAUCUGGAAGCGUCAAGUGUUUCUAAAUGCGGGAAACUUUGGCUCCAAUCAGGAAGUUCUGUUCUAAUUAAGAGGGGUAUUUAUAUGGACUGCUGGGACAAUGUCAUGCUUUUGAUGAAGAACCUAAGAAGCUAUAAGGUUUGAAAUGCGUUAAGCUGCAGACUUUCUUUUGGGAAGGACAGUUGGUAUACCAAGGACUGUACCCUCAUCUGUGGAAAUCGGUUUUCGAGUCCUUUUUUCUGACAUGUGAUUCAACUAAUGGGGCAAUGGGGGAGAUGACAUCAUCAGUCUAAGCAUUGCUGUGGACAAUUCCACCUGUGUGUGGUAGAUAUGCAAUUUGUAAAUAAAAAACCUUGCUUUUAAUUUAAGGUAUUGCACGAUUAUGUAAUUUCUUAAGACAAAUACUGCAAUUAGUGGGAAUUAAAAAGUCACUCUGGGAACUUAGUUAAACUUGAUUGUGAGAGUAA